UGACUCUUCGUUUUAUUUGAAUUUUUUUUGAGAUUAAUAUUUUUAUUCUUACUAGAUAAUAAAACAUGAAGAGUACUUUAUGCGUGACUAAUUUUUUUAAGGUUUUGUGUAAAUUUUUUAAAUAAAACAAAUGGACA
rnacentral:pre_miRNA from 1 species